CAUAAUCUAUAUAGAUCAGGGAUAAACGGGUUAUAAGUUUUGUACAAUUGGACCCAAAAGAGAAAGUUUAUCACCGAGCAUCACUAGAUACAUAGAUAAACGAUAGCUAGAUAAACGGAGAGGGGAGCCGAACAUCACCAUUUCCUCGCCUGCCCCUUCCCCUUGCGGUCACAGGAGUGGAGGUAGUACUCUUGCUUCUCCUUCGCGAGCCGUGUCGCUUUCGUCGCGGCCUCUUGCUUCUCCUUCGCGAGGCGCUCAGACUCUUUGAUGCUGAGCCGGAAUGCCUUCGUGUUCUUGCGGUGGAGGCGCCCCGCAUCUGUCUCCGCCGCGCUCAGCGACCGGCGGAGGAUCUCGCGCGGGAGCUGCUUCUACGUAUCGAUCGACGCGGAAAUCGCGUAGGUGCGGGAGGAACUGACCUCCUCUGCCCUCGGCGCGGCAUGCGGUGUGCGCCUUCAAUUUGGGUAUCCUCGUACGCGGGCACGAGCACCCGACGCCGGCUAGGAGGAGCUGUGGCCGGAGGGGUAGGGGAGGGGUGCGCCCGGAGACGGAUGUGCAGCAGCGUGAAGCAUGAAUGGCCGACGUGGUUGACUGCAUUGGGUCGCCAGACCACUGGGGACGACAUGGAGCUCAAGCUCCUGUCCCGGUCCAUCCGUGCCGUCGGAGGGCAAUGCAGACUGUGAGCUCCUCGUCGUUCAGGGCCUCGCUGCCGGAGCCGUCCUCUUUCAAUAGCCUGUACCAAUUGAUGGGAUCGGACUCGUUGCCGGAAUUGCUGCCGUAGUUUGGCAUGGUGGAGGGGAGGGGAGUGGAGGAGACGGGCAGUGGAAACGAAGCGGAGCGCUCGAGAAGAGUGGAUUUUAACUAGGGUUUGGUUCGGGGUGGGGUAUUUGUGGGAAACAGUGGGCCAGUGUGGCCCGUAUCUGACGUGGCAGACGCGUCCGGGCCUCCCCAUAUCUGCCCCACAUAUGGGCUGGGUUUGGGGGUGCCGGGUGGCCCAGACGUAUAGGGCCGGUUUGAGGGGUCAGGUUGGGUCGCAAAAAAGUGACCGGUCACUGACCGAGCCGUCCAGACGGGCAUAUAGGAGCAAUAUGAGGGAUCCGGCUGUAAAUGCUCUAACCUUGCUCUCUUCUGUGUUAUUUUUUCAGCUCCAUUGCAUGGAUUUGCAUUUUGGUUCGAUGUCGAGUUUAAUGGACCAGUUCGCCAGAAAUUCAAGAAGCAAGCAAGCCAACCCUUGGAUGUCAAUAUGCAAAAUUCCAACCCAAGCAAUAAAAAGAAAAAGGCAGAUGUCUCAAUUGUUCUGUCAACUGCCCCAGAGGACGCCCCUACUCACUGGCAGCAGACUCUCCUUUACUUAUUUGAACCUAUCGAGUUAAAGAAAGACCAAAUCAUGGAAGGUUCUGUUACCAUAUCUCAGAGCCAGCAACAUGCCCGGUUCCUUAACAUUUGCCUGAAAUAUUUUACUGGAGACCAAUGGUACGUUAAAGAAUCCGUGAUGCGAUAGCAUGGAAAACUUCCAUAGAACAAUAUUUUACUGACAGGUGCAAAUCUAUCAAUUCCUGUGCAUCAUGAACCUUAUCGGCCAUUGCAAUUUUGGAGCAUUCUGACUGAAGCGGGGCAUCAUGAUGGCAAAUUGAUCAACAUAUGCUGCCAUUUAGUUUUCAUUUGGAGAGCUGGAAUUUUGGACGUGGAGCAAUUCAUCCUGAACUCCCAACAAAAAUCCAUUACUCCAAAUCAGGCCUUAGAUUUGAAUUGUUCCUAGUCGAGUUUGGGUAGAUCAGUAGAAUGAAUGAAGCAUUGAAAAAUUCAAUAAUUACAUGCUGGCGAAGGUAGUAUAGGUUUUCCCUUAUGUUAACAGUACAGUUCGUCUUGGCCCAUCUGAUUAGUCGCCUUUUCUUACACUAGAUAGCAAUGCAGAUUGUUUCUGUUGUUUGUAACAACUGUAUUUUCCAACAUGACAUUCAUGCGGCCCUUGAGUGGUUGUAAUAACAGACUAAGAUUUUCCAUGCGGCUGUGAAAUAAUCAUCUGGCAGUGUCAACAUAUUA